UCCUGUUAAAGAAUUUAUGCUGUGCUUUUUUUUUCUCCAAGACCAUAAAUGUGCCACCACCAUCAGGAAUACCAGUGUGGAGAUUACUGGCUUGAUCCCUUCCACCAGCUCUGCCCUCUGGGACAUCAAAUGAAGCUGCACACUUACCCUUUCCUGUGACACACAGCCCACACCCCUGAGCCUGCUCUCCCACCAUGGAGGCUUUUCCAGCUAAGUUAAUGCAAACUAGUAAGAGAAGGUUUACAAAUGAAAGUCAGCUAAACAAAUACACAGAAAAAAAGGGAUUAAAAAAUUUGCCUAAUGCAGCUUUGUAAAGAAAAGCUGAAAUGAUGUCAUCCUUUAAAGAAGUUCCAACAACCAAGGUCAAGCAAGGCAGGGGACUGUUUUCAUGUCCAAGGCACAUCUUCCCAAAAAAGACUGAAAUCUGCUUCAGGAACAAGAACAGUGCCCAGCCAUCCUGCUCCUGGUCUUUUGUUGUGAAAUGAAGCUUUGACAUAUAAAUAAAACUAUACUUGAACACAUGUAAUUUCAGGCCAAAUAUGGGUAUGACAAAUCCAUUUGCUGGGCAAGCUGAGUGAAUAAUGAUGGUUAAUUAUUGAUCUGUCACGAGGUACUCAGAAUACGAAAAAUCACACGGAAUUAAUUGAAGGACUUUAAAAACAAAUUUCAAAACAAAAGAACUUGAAAUAUGUACAAGGCAACUUGUGUAGUCACAAGCACUACAGAAAUA